rnacentral:misc_RNA from 1 species
GAAGAAGCCAAGAAAGGGAAGAAUUCGGGGACAGCGAAUAAGUACGACGAUGCCGAAGAUGAUGAUCAGUAUGUCGAUGAGAAAGAUCCUAAAGGACAGCUAGACAGUCCCAAAAAGGAAGUCAAAGGCCAGGAAAAACCCAUGGAGGAUCCCGACGCUAAUUACCAAGAUGAAGAAGAUGAUCCAGCUCAGAAGUUAGAGAUUAAACACAGAAAAUUGGAAAAUAAGAUUGAUAGUCUUCAGGAAAACGGGAAUUAAAUUAUAGAGGAAAAAAGAAAAGAGUAAAGAGGGUCACAACAAAUCUGCUCAGUGGAUCAUCAGUAUCAACAAUGGGACAUGGAUAUGCAUGUAAAUGUACUUGUACAUGUAUAUAAAUUAAUUAAGAUGUACUUGAAUAUCAAGAUGGAGGAGGGGGAGGGGGUUAGGCGCUGGUAAUUUUUAUACUUGACUAAAUUUUAGGAAGGGGUAGGGAUGUUAAGGUUACUUUAAUAAAACUUGGUAUAUGUAAAUUCUAAAAAGGCAUGCUCUGAGAUUGGCAGAUCUUCUAAAAUCAUGACCAUUUUUAUGAGGCGAAAAAAAGCCAGUUACAGUAGAAUUUUGAUAUCCCGAACACUGAUAUUUAAUUUUUGAGUCCAAACUACUUAUUUUUUUAAGUAUUUUAUCCUGGAUAUCUCGAAGUUUUUAUAACAGUCCCAUCUAGUUUGAGAUAACAAAGUUUGUCUGUAUGUUCACAUCACAAAAUCUCAGAUCCAAAUUUCUCCUGCUCAUAGAUAUUGCCGAUGAGUUUGUCUGAAGAUGUUACACAGGUCAUAUACUUAUUUUUCUAGAUCAAUUAACCUGGGGAUUUAACAUUUUUAGCCACUAGCAUACUUAUAAUGAAGGUACAUUCCCCCUUGUGUUCAGUCAGCGGGGCUAAUGUGGAGUUUGCAAUGUCACUGAUGUGUGGUUAUAACUUUCAUGCCUCCAUUUACAUCAUCACCUCAGAGAUCUCAUUAUUUUAUCAUAUCCAUCAUUCUAAAGAAUGGCGUCAACUUUUUUUGUCAUCUACUUACAUGAAAUAGUAUUUAUAUAUUUUUUUUUACAAAUCAUAUUGCAUGCAAAGUAAGUGACUGUCUUUUUUAUGAGAUUAUGUAUGAUUAAAUGUCCUCAAAUUCAAAGGAUGUGAUAGAAAAAAAAAUUGUACAAAUACCUGUUCUGUUUUCUUGGCACAUGUACCAAGCUAUUGUCAAUUUAUAUCACGUACCCCAAUAGUACCAGGCUCCGUCGUCACUAAUUUUCCUCAAGUCAAUACUCAGCCUCAAAUCUGAGGUUUGACCUCAAGUUUAUGCACUUUCCUUUACAGAAUUUGAGUUGAGGAAUGAGUUGAGGGAUUUGAAAACUUUGGUGACGGUGGAGCCAGCACUUCCUGGAACUUACAAUAAUGUGUGCUGUGAAAGAACUGAAUGAAUCCUCCAUAAUCAUUUCUUCGCCCUUUUCUUUUAUUAUAAGUUUCCAUUUCCUUUUUGUUACAUUCCAUUGUCAUUUAUUCAGGUAUUUUCCUUUUUUCUCCCUAUUCCAUGUGUGAUGAGGAUGCUUCAAGCAUAAUAUUUGUUUGGUACCGUACUUGUGUUGUACUGCUGUACAUGAAGGAUCUAUUUAUAGGUGUCAAGUUUAUCUAUUUAUAGGUGCCAUGUUCGAUUUUAGUCUAUUACUGUAGAUUCCUCUUAAUGCCAGGAGUUAUAUCCAUACGAGAUAGGAAGAAGCACCUAUUGCGGAUUUUGAAAUCUCACCAAUUUUGUGACAGAUAUAUAUGAAUUGAUAUGAAAUUAUGAUAAAACUGCUAUGAUUUUAAUUAAAUACCAAAUGCCAGUUUCUCAGAAAUUUGAACUGGCAUUAAUAUUAAAGGAAUCUACAGUAUUAACAGGGACCAAGGCAUACAAUGGCCUACAUUUCAUACAACAUUGUCAUGUUUUGUGUUACAAAAAUCCAACAAUUAUUUUACUUGUGCGUUUGUGAAAGUAAUAUGUUUGUUAUAUAAUUAUAUACAUUUGGAGUUUGCUUUUGUCGUUGUGUUGUUUUACACGAGGGAGUAUUCAUUGUACAAUUCAAAUUUGUAUGAUCAUCAGAGGGAGUAUUCAUUUUGGAUGAUCUUCAGAGGGAGUAUUCAUUUUGGAUGAUCUGCAGAGGGAGUAUUCAUUGCACUGUACAUACAUGUAUUUGGUGUUUGCGGGAGUGUUCAUUGUACUGUACACUAUUUAGAUGAUCUAUUACAGGACAUUUGUUAUGUGGUUUUAUGAAAUCCAUAUUUUCUAUUGCAUUUAAAUACAUUUAUUAUUUGUAGCACAGUUACGUCUUGUUUAUUUUUUUUUCUAUGAAGUUCUUACAAGCUUAUGCACUUUUUCAAGGUUUAGUUGCUGACAAGGAUUAUCAAUGCAGGGCUACAUGUACACUAUACAUUGUAGUAAUUGUUGUUUUAUUCCUGCAGUACUGUGAUAAUCCAAUUGUUUAACGUACGGUUAGGGGUUUUCUAUCAUCAUUACAUCCUCUGUGAUACAUGAUAUGCAUUUGUUGUUGUGAGGUCGUCCAGCUUUAGGCCAUUCAUUGAACAAAUAUACAUGUAUCUAUAUUUUUUUAUGAUCAGAAAUUGUGUCCAUGUAUGUGUCUGUAAUCUAAAUACAUGCAAGUAGCAUUUUUCAACAACAAAAUUACAAAUUAAAUCAUCGAUUGGGACUGCAUUUGUUGUUGAGUAAAUCUCUAUUUAAUCUGUACAUACUUUUGUUUAAGCUUAACACAACACAAACAUUACUUGGCUUUUUUUAUUUAUUAUCUAUUUUGUAUAGAAGACUUUUUAUAGUUCUUCCUUUCAAGACAUGCAACUGUAUCACGGUUUUUGAUUAUUUGAAUAAACCAAUUUAUUAAUAG